UGAGCCGGCCGGGUGGCCGCGGCGUGGUUUCCACGCUGAGGAAGGUCGGGGCUCCGCAGGGCAGGAUGCUGGCUAGCGGCCAGUCGGGGCGACCCGCAGGAAAGUGCCACAGAGAACAGACCGCCGAUGGCCGGUUCCCCUCGGGGAGUUGGCACAGGUGAGGGUGAAACGGUGCGGUAAGAGCGCACCAGCG
rnacentral:RNase_P_RNA from 1 species